rnacentral:rRNA from 1 species
AUACGGAGGAUGCGAGCGUUAUCCGGAUUUAUUGGGUUUAAAGGGUGCGUAGGCGGUUUGUCAAGUCAGCGGUGAAACGCAAGGGCUUAACCCUUGACCUGCCGUUGAAACUGAUUGACUAGAAUGCGGAUGCUGUGGGAGGAAUGUGUGGUGUAGCGGUGAAAUGCAUAGAUAUCACACAGAACACCGAUUGCGAAGGCAUCUCACAAAUCCGUGAUUGACGCUGAGGCACGAAAGUGUGGGGAUCAAACAGGAUUAGAUACCCUGGUAGUCCACACUGUAAACGAUGAUAACUCGCUGUCGGCGAUACACAGUCGGUGGCCAAGCGAAAGCGAUAAGUUAUCCACCUGGGGAGUACGACCGCAAGGUUGAAACUCAAAGGAAUUGACGGGG